rnacentral:rRNA from 1 species
UACGGGGGGGGCAAGCGUUGUUCGGAAUUACUGGGCGUAAAGGGCUCGUAGGCGGCCAACUAAGUCAUACGUGAAAUCCCUCGGCUUAACCGGGGAACUGCGUCCGAUACUGGAUGGCUUGAGUUUGGGAGAGGGAUGCGGAAUUCCAGGUGUAGCGGUGAAAUGCGUAGAUAUCUGGAGGAACACCGGUGGCGAAGGCGGCAUCCUGGACCAACACUGACGCUGAUGAGCGAAAGCCAGGGGAGCAAACGGG